AGGGGUAUAGUUUAUCUGGUAAAAUAUUGGUUUCCAACUCCAAUGAGGUGGGUUCAAGUCCUACUAUCCCUG
rfam:Listeria phage A511, complete genome.